UACGGAGGGUGCAAACGUUGCUCGGAAUCAUUGGGCGUAAAGCGCACGUAGGCGGUCCAGUAAGUCGGGUGUGAAAGCCCUGGGCUUAACCCAGGAAGUGCAAACGAAACUACUGGACUUGAGUACUGAAGAGGGUCGCGGAAUUCCCGGUGUAGAGGUGAAAUUCGUAGAUAUCGGGAGGAACACCAGUGGCGAAGGCGGCGACCUGGGCAGAUACUGACGCUGAGGUGCGAAAGCGUGGGGAGCAAACAGG
rnacentral:rRNA from 1 species